rnacentral:rRNA from 1 species
AGCGCAGGCGGACCGGCAAGUUGGAAGUGAAAACUAUGGGCUUAACCCAUAAAUUGCUUUCAAAACUGCUGGCCUUGAGUAGUGCAGAGGUAGGUGGAAUUCCCGGUGUAGCGGUGGAAUGCGUAGAUAUCGGGAGGAACACCAGUGGCGAAGGCGACCUACUGGGCACCAACUGACGCUGAGGCUCGAAAGCAUGGGUAGCAAACA